GGGGUUUCCGCCCCUUAGUGCUGCAGCUAACGCAUUAAGCACUCCGCCUGGGGAGUACGGUCGCAAGACUGACUACUCAAAGGAAUUGACGGGGGCCCGCACAAGCGGUGGAUCAUGUGGUUUAAUUCUAASCAACGCGAAGAACCUUACCAGGUCUUGACAUCCUCUGACAAUCCUAGAAAUAGGACGUCCCCUUCGGGGGCAGAAUGACAGGUGGUGAUGGUUGCCGUCACCUCUU
rnacentral:rRNA from 1 species